UUUUCUUGCACUGAGCAAAAAGAGGUUAGUUACACUAGGUGUCAUCCCGGGGAAUCAGGUCUCAUCACAGGGCCCACACCAUCUGAGACCUUUUCAGAUCCUCUAAGAUGCUGAGACAAGAAGCCAUCUGGUCUUGGAGGGAAUGGAGAUGGAAAGUUCCUGGAUACUUCUGGAACAGAAUUCUCCUGGGGUGAGUGGUUCACACAACUGACCCACUUCAUCCCCACUCAGCAAAAUGAGAGCGCCGUUGACUGACAACAAAAUGCUGAACUGGAAACCUCCGCAGUAAAACGUGAUGCAGAACAGAGAAAGAACUAAGAUGUUCUGCACAGACGGUAUCAUGCCCUCUAUGAGGAAACUACUCGAGCAUAUCUGUGUUUCAAAUGAUGUCUUUGAACUAUUUAUGUUAAAUGCCCCCCCAAAAAAAUGGAAAGGCUUCUUCGUAGAGGAAAGAGCUUGAAGUUGCUAGGCUGUUCUGCCUUCAACAGGCAUUUAUUGUGCAGCUACAAAAUGCUGCACCAAGCACUGGGCAGUGGAAAGGUGAUUCAGACACAGUUCCUUUGACAAAACCUCAAAAUCCCAUGUGAAGUUCUCUUUUAUAAAGUAAAUCAGAAAAGAUUCAAAAGUUGAGGUACCAAAAAAAAAUAAUAUAAAUGCAAGUAGUAAAGCGCUAUUGACUGUAAAUAGAAGCACUUAAUAAGUGGUUGUUGUUUCUGUUCUUCUCUCUAAUAAGUGUAUACAGGUGGCUAAAUGCUUUUGUUGAGCUAUGAGUACCUCAUUCUGUGGAGUGACUCAGAAAGUCUCUAGGUGUUAGACUGGAAACAGGUGAUGUUCAGUGCACGCAAUGCUUGAAGUGUUCCCAGGUAUUUAGUUUCAGGUAAAUUUUACUGUUUAAAAAAAUUGUUUUUACUUGCUAUUAAGUGUGUUGACCUUGGAUAAUUUACUUAACCUCUCUAUGCCUUGCUUCCUUUUCUGCAAAAUGAGAGUAAGAAAAGUGCUUACCUCAUUGGCUUUUUGUGAAAUUCAAUGAGUUAACACGUGGGAGAAAAGAUGUUUUUAAAUAAUCAAUUCUUAGCAGUUGGUCAUUGUUAUGAGUUACAUCAUGC
rnacentral:lncRNA from 1 species